GAUGAAGAACGUAGCGAAAUGCGAUAAGUAAUGUGAAUUGCAGAAUUCAGUGAAUCAUCGAAUCUUUGAACGCACAUUGCGCCCCCUGGUAUUCCGGGGGGCAUGCCUGUCCGAGCGUCAUUACAACCCUCAAGCUCAGCUUGGUGUUGGGCCCCGCCGCCCCGGCGGGCCCUAAAGUCAGUGGCGGUGCCGUCGGGCUCCGAGCGUAGUAAUUCUUCUCGCUCUGGAGGCCCGGUCGUGUGCUCGCCAGCAACCCCCAAUUUUUUUCAGGUUGACCUCGGAUCAGGUAGGGAUACCCGCUGAACUUAAGCAUAUCAAUAAGCGGAGGA
rnacentral:misc_RNA from 1 species